rnacentral:rRNA from 1 species
UACAGAGGUCUCGAGCGUUGUUCGGAUUCAUUGGGCGUAAAGGGUGCGUAGGUGGCGCCGUAAGUCGGGUGUGAAAUUUCGGAGCUUAACUCCGAAACUGCAUUCGAUACUGCGGUGCUUGAGGACUGGAGAGGAGACUGGAAUUUACGGUGUAGCAGUGAAAUGCGUAGAUAUCGUAAGGAAGACCAGUGGCGAAGGCGAAUCUCUGGACAGUUACUGACACUGAGGCACGAAGGCCAGGGGAGCAAACGGG